rnacentral:tRNA from 1 species
GCCUCGGUAGCGCAGUAGGCAGCGCGUAAGUCUUAUAAUCUUAAGGUCGUGAGUUCGAUCCUCACCCGGGGCA